UACGAAGGGGGCGAGCGUUGUUCGGAAUUACUGGGCGUAAAGGGCGCGCAGGCGGCUCUGAAAGUCAGAUGUGAAAGCCCCGGGCUUAACCUGGGAAUGGCAUGGGAAACUGGCGGGCUGGAGUGUGGCAGAGGGGGGUGGAAUUCCGCGUGUAGCAGUGAAAUGCGUAGAGAUGCGGAGGAACACCGAUGGCGAAGGCGGCCUGCUGGGCUACUGCUGACACUGAGGCGCGACAGCGUGGGGAGCAAACAGG
rnacentral:rRNA from 1 species